CAGCUGAGCGCGUCUGCCGGAUCCGCUCCAGAGGAGAGCGGCAGGUAGGAGGGCGGAGCGAAGCGCCAAAGUUAAAGACGGACAGAGAGCAGCGAGAGCGCAACGGUGUUUAUUCCAAGGGCCGACUGUCUCCGCUGCUUGGCUGUGAAGGAGACGAACAAGGAUGAGGACAUCUACCGAAUCGGAUGGUACCACAAUCCAGGGAUCUAUCUGGCAUAUAUUUAAUGUCUGGAUAGCCCCAGUACAUCCUUGAACAAAUCCAUCACAAAUGACCAUCAGUAGGUGGAAACAAACAGGUAAAUACAGUAAAAUCGCUACAGUGAAGGCGCUCGGCUCUAUGAAGUGGGAAACGUGGCAGGCGUGUUUUACCAGCUGUCUAGGAUUAUCUAUGCAUAUUUGUGGGAGAGAUUUAAUGGAAACAAAGGGUUUGUGGUGGAAUGAUAAGUGUGAAGGCUUAUCCUGCUCCAUCAAUCAAUCAGCGACACACACACACACACACACACACACACACACACACACACACACACACACACACACACACACACACACACACACACACAAUAUCAAGACAUC